rnacentral:rRNA from 1 species
UACGGAGGGUGCGAGCGUUGUCCGGAAUCACUGGGCGUAAAGGGCGCGUAGGCGGUCUGCUAAGCGUGUGGUGAAAGCUCGGGGCUCAACCCCGAGUCUGCCAUGCGAACUGGUGGACUUGAGCACUGUAGAGGCCGAUGGAAUUCCGGGUGUAGCGGUGGAAUGCGUAGAGAUCCGGAAGAACACCGGUGGCGAAGGCGGCCCGCUGGGCAGGAAGGCCCCCUCACGGGGGCCGGCUGACGCUGAGGCGCGACAGCGUGGGGAGCAAACAGG